UACGUGGGGUGCAAGCGUUAAUCGGAAUUACUGGGCGUAAAGCGUGCGCAGGCGGUUAUGCAAGACAGAGGUGAAAUCCCCGGGCUCAACCUGGGAACUGCCUUUGUGACUGCAUGGCUAGAGUACGGUAGAGGGGGAUGGAAUUCCGCGUGUAGCAGUGAAAUGCGUAGAUAUGCGGAGGAACACCGAUGGCGAAGGCAAUCCCUGGACCUGUACUGACGCUCAUGCACGAAAGCGUGGGGAGCAAACAGG
rnacentral:rRNA from 1 species